CUCUAGCAAAGAAAAUAGUUAUUUUAAGAAGUUCUAUCAAAACUCAGUGAAUCAGUGUUCGCUUCGCAUCAUAUCAUUAUGCAGAGAAAUAAGCUCAAAUUUGAUCUUUAAGAUGGAGAGUACACGACAAAAAAUUCUGUCAGAUGCUUUACAGAGGAGAGUCAAUGUAAGGCUUCUAAUGUCAUAAUGCAGAUUUUGCCUGAUACAAAACUGACUUUCAAAUGGAUCCAGUGCACAAAGCCACACGGCCAUAAUAUGUAACUAGGAGUAAUGACACUUUAUGAUAGAGAUAAUUAACAUUUGAUCCCAAUUAUACUCUAUACAUUUUCAAAUUUCAUGACAAAAAUUUCCAAUUUAUCUUAACAGAUUUGCUAGAAAUGGCUCUUCAGUUUUUGGCACUAAAAGCUGAAGUUUAGCCAAUUGCCUUAAACUUAUAUUUUUUUUAUAGAUGGAAGAUACUGUUUAGGAGAGUAAAUGUAAGAGGCAACAAACCGAAACUAUCUUUGGAAAAUCAUUUUUCAUGUCUCUAGCCUUACAUGUGACAGUAAAAUGGACAUCAGUCUGUUACAGGAGAUAAUUGCUUUUUGAAAUGGCAAAGAAACUGGGGAGAAAAACAUUUUAAUAGGUGUAGCUGUCUAAAAAAAAAAAAAGAUUUUAUUUUGUUAAUUUGAGUUGCAUUUAAUUUUAUGUCUCAUUGCUGACCCCUUGUGGUUAACUGAAAAAACUGACUGUGCAUGCGCUGUCCACGCGUUGGAUCAUAAUGAGCCAGGUGUCGCAGCAUUAGCAUAACGAAAAAAGAACACAGAGAACACGCUGGACGAAGACGGAACGGAGCACGGUGGAAAGACUGAAAAUGGACGAGCAACUCCUUAAAAUGUGAUCAGAGGGCACACGUUUUUCACGGUGAUUCCUUGGUGAUUCUUUGACGAUUCUGUGGUUACGUAAAAAAUAAAUGACCAAAAGAUCAUCAGUCGGAGCGUGGCUUUUUCCUGAUCGGAUUGAAAAACUUAAGGAGCAGCUACAGUGAAAAACGUGACCUGUCGGUGCCACGUGGGAAGCCUACGGGAGUCUUCGUUGUCGCCAUUGGAAAAGGCCUGCAGCAGCGGUGAAGCUGAAGAGCGCAGCCACAUCAAUGGAGACGAAUAAGGACUGAACUUCUCAGCACAGUGCAUUCUGUGUCUAACAGGUCAGACUGUCAUCAGAGUUGGUAAAGGACGGUAAAGAAAAAAGUUUAAAAAGAAGAAAAAAAAAA